rnacentral:rRNA from 1 species
GCUCAACCGAGGAAGUGCUUCGAAAACUGGUAAACUUGAGUGCAGAAGAGGAAAGUGGAACUCCAUGUGUAGCGGUGGAAUGCGUAGAUAUAUGGAAGAACACCAGUGGCGAAGGCGGCUUUCUGGUCUGUAACUGACGCUGAGAUUCGAAAGCAUGGGUAGCAAACAGGAUUAGAUACCCUGGUAGUCCAUGCCGUAAACGAUGAGUGCUAAGUGUUGGAGGGUUUCCGCCCUUCAGUGCUGCAGCUAACGCAUUAAGCACUCCGCCUGGGGAGUACGAUCGCAAGAUUGAAACUCAAAGGAAUUGACGGGGGCCCGCACAAGCGGUGGAGCAUGUGGUUUAAUUCGAAGCAACGCGAAGAACCUUACCAGGUCUUGACAUACCAUGAAAAGCUAAGAGAUAAGUCUUUCCCUUCGGGGACAUGGAUACAGGUGGUGCAUGGUUGUCGUCAGCUCGUGUCGUGAGAUGUUGGGUUAAGUCCCGCAACGAGCGCAACCCUUAUUAUCAGUUGCCAGCAUUCAUUUGGGCACUCUGGUGAGACUGCCGGUGAUAAACCGGAGGAAGGUGGGGACGACGUCAAAUCAUCAUGCCCCUUAUGACCUGGGCUACACACGUGCUACAAUGGUCGGUACAACG